rnacentral:rRNA from 1 species
UUUUAGAGUUUGAUUCCCUGCUCAGGACGAACGCUGGCGGCGUGCCUAAUACAUGCAAGUCGAACGCUUCUUUUUCCACCGGAGCUUGCUCCACCGGAAAAAGAGGAGUGGCGAACGGGUGAGUAACACGUGGGUAACCUGCCCAUCAGAAGGGGAUAACACUUGGAAACAGGUGCUAAUACCGUAUAACAAUCGAAACCGCAUGGUUUUGAUUUGAAAGGCGCUUUCGGGUGUCGCUGAUGGAUGGACCCGCGGUGCAUUAGCUAGUUGGUGAGGUAACGGCUCACCAAGGCCACGAUGCAUAGCCGACCUGAGAGGGUGAUCGGCCACAUUGGGACUGAGACACGGCCCAAACUCCUACGGGAGGCAGCAGUAGGGAAUCUUCGGCAAUGGACGAAAGUCUGACCGAGCAACGCCGCGUGAGUGAAGAAGGUUUUCGGAUCGUAAAACUCUGUUGUUAGAGAAGAACAAGGAUGAGAGUAACUGUUCAUCCCUUGACGGUAUCUAACCAGAAAGCCACGGCUAACUACGUGCCAGCAGCCGCGGUAAUACGUAGGUGGCAAGCGUUGUCCGGAUUUAUUGGGCGUAAAGCGAGCGCAGGCGGUUUCUUAAGUCUGAUGUGAAAGCCCCCGGCUCAACCGGGGAGGGUCAUUGGAAACUGGGAGACUUGAGUGCAGAAGAUGAGA